UACGUAGGGUGCGAGCGUUAAUCGGAAUUACUGGGCGUAAAGCGUGCGCAGGCGGUUGUACAAGACAGGUGUGAAAUCCCCGGGCUUAACCUGGGAACUGCACUUGUGACUGUAUGACUUGAGUACGGCAGAGGGGGAUGGAAUUCCGCGUGUAGCAGUGAAAUGCGUAGAUAUGCGGAGGAACACCGAUGGCGAAGGCAAUCCCCUGGGCCUGUACUGACGCUCAUGCACGAAAGCGUGGGGAGCAAACAGG
rnacentral:rRNA from 1 species